rnacentral:rRNA from 1 species
CCGGGCUAAAGUGAAAAGAACUUUGAAGAGAGAGUUCAAAAGGGCGUGAAACCGCUUAGAAGAAAACGGACGGAACCGUCUGACGCCCUCGGGAAUCAGUCGAACGACGCGCGAACGCGUCUCGAUCGUCGGAGCGUAAAAGUCCGGCUCGAGGCGUCUAGUAGUCGCGUUCGUAAGGCGCAUUUCUCGAGGGUUAGCGCCGCGACCGAUGCGAACGGCCGACGACGCCGUCGAGUUGAGGUCGAACGCCCUUCGCGGGUAUUCGUAACCAGCUCGUUCGGUAGACUUUGUGGGAUCUAAUAUAAAGCAUCGAGCGAAUACUAUAAAUACGUCGGCGUAAAACGCUCGACGAGCGGCGGAGACUCGGCCAGUCGUUCGGUACCUGCUCGCAGGUUCUCGUUCGGCGCGAGGUCGUUUCCCGAUGUCGCCGUCGACGCUACCGACGUUUAGGCGUCCGCGGCGUCCGAGUCGGCCACCCGUCCGACCCGUCUUGAAACACGGACCAAGGAGUCUAACGUACGCGCGAGUUAAUGGGUGGAAAACCCAUAAGCGCAAUAAAAGUAAAAGUCGUCCCAAGACGGCCGAGGUACGAUCCUAGACUACGCGUCUAGGCGCAGUACCGUCCCGUCCCGACCGCACGUCGGUAGGGCGGAGAUUGAGCGCAUACGUUGGGACCCGAAAGAUGGUGAACUAUGCCUGAGCAGAGCGAAGCCAGAGGAAACUCUGGUGGAGGUUCGUAGCGGUUCUGACGUGCAAAUCGAUCGUCAGACUUGGGUAUAGGGGCGAAAGACAUAAUCGAUCCAUCUAGAGCGUGUC